rnacentral:rRNA from 1 species
GACGAACCGUGCGAACGUUGUUCGGAAUCACUGGGCUUAAAGGGCGCGUAGGCGGCUUCCCAAGCCCGGGGUGAAAUCUUUCGGCUUAACCGGAAAAGGCCUCGGGGACUGGGGGCUAGAGGGAGGUAGGGGCAAGCGGAACUUCCGGUGGAGCGGUGAAAUGCGUUGAUAUCGGAAGGAACGCCGGCGGCGAAAGCGGCUGCUGGCCUCAUCGGACGCUGAUGCGCGAAAGCUAGGGGAGCGACGGGG